rnacentral:rRNA from 1 species
UUGAAGAGUUUGAUCAUGGCUCAGAUUGAACGCUGGCGGCAGGCCUAACACAUGCAAGUCGAACGGUAACAGGAAACAGCUUGCUGUUUCGCUGACGAGUGGCGGACGGGUGAGUAAUGUCUGGGAAACUGCCCGAUGGAGGGGGAUAACUACUGGAAACGGUAGCUAAUACCGCAUAACGUCGCAAGACCAAAGAGGGGGACCUUCGGGCCUCUUGCCAUCGGAUGUGCCCAGAUGGGAUUAGCUAGUAGGUGGGGUAACGGCUCACCUAGGCGACGAUCCCUAGCUGGUCUGAGAGGAUGACCAGCCACACUGGAACUGAGACACGGUCCAGACUCCUACGGGAGGCAGCAGUGGGGAAUAUUGCACAAUGGGCGCAAGCCUGAUGCAGCCAUGCCGCGUGUAUGAAGAAGGCCUUCGGGUUGUAAAGUACUUUCAGCGGGGAGGAAGGGAGUAAAGUUAAUACCUUUGCUCAUUGACGUUACCCGCAGAAGAAGCACCGGCUAACUCCGUGCCAGCAGCCGCGGUAAUACGGAGGGUGCAAGCGUUAAUCGGAAUUACUGGGCGUAAAGCGCACGCAGGCGGUUUGUUAAGUCAGAUGUGAAAUCCCCGGGCUCAACCUGGGAACUGCAUCUGAUACUGGCAAGCUUGAGUCUCGUAGAGGGGGGUAGAAUUCCAGGUGUAGCGGUGAAAUGCGUAGAGAUCUGGAGGAAUACCGGUGGCGAAGGCGGCCCCGGACGAAGACUGACGCUCAGGUGCGAAAGCGUGGGGAGCAAACAGGAUUAGAUACCACGGUAGUCCACGCCGUAAACGAUGUCGACUUGGAGGUUGUGCCCUUGAGGCGUGGCUUCCGGAGCUAACGCGUUAAGUCGACCGCCUGGGGAGUACGGCCGCAAGGUUAAAACUCAAAUGAAUUGACGGGGGCCCGCACAAGCGGUGGAGCAUGUGGUUUAAUUCGAUGCAACGCGAAGAACCUUACCUGGUCUUGACAUCCACGGAAGUUUUCAGAGAUGAGAAUGUGCCUUCGGGAACCGUGAGACAGGUGCUGCAUGGCUGUCGUCAGCUCGUGUUGUGAAAUGUUGGGUUAAGUCCCGCAACGAGCGCAACCCUUAUCCUUUGUUGCCAGCGGUCCGGCCGGGAACUCAAAGGAGACUGCCAGUGAUAAACUGGAGGAAGGUGGGGAUGACGUCAAGUCAUCAUGGCCCUUACGACCAGGGCUACACACGUGCUACAAUGGCGCAUACAAAGAGAAGCGACCUCGCGAGAGCAAGCGGACCUCAUAAAGUGCGUCGUAGUCCGGAUUGGAGUCUGCAACUCGACUCCAUGAAGUCGGAAUCGCUAGUAAUCGUGGAUCAGAAUGCCACGGUGAAUACGUUCCCGGGCCUUGUACACACCGCCCGUCACACCAUGGGAGUGGGUUGCAAAAGAAGUAGGUAGCUUAACCUUCGGGAGGGCGCUUACCACUUUGUGAUUCAUGACUGGGGUGAAGUCGUAACAAGGUAACCGUAGGGGAACCUGCGGUUGGAUCACCUCCUU